GCACAAGCUUCAGGAGAUUUUAUAGCUCUGAGUUUGAACUCUGAGAAUCUGAACCAACAGCAACCAUGAGCUUCAUCACCAUCUUCAUCUGGAUCUUCACUAGCUGCUGUUUCACAGAAUCAGCAGCUGGAGUGACAGUCACUCAGACGCCUGCAGUGAAACCUGUUCAACCAGGAGACACAGUUACUAUCUCCUGUAAAACCAGUCCUGAAGUUUACCAGGGUUGGGGUGUUCAGCCUCUUUACUGGUACUUACAGAAACCUGGAGAAGCUCCUAAACUCCUGAUUUAUUACGCAAACACCCUCGAGUCAGGAACUCCAUCUAGAUUCAGUGGCAGUGGAUCUAACAGUGAUUUCACUCUGACCAUCAGUGGAGUCCAGACUGAAGAUGCUGGACAUUAUUACUGUCAGAGUGUACAUGAAAUCAACAGUGACUAUGUGUUCACACAGUGA